AGCAAUUGUGGAGUAAGGAGGGUAGAUCUGUAGAGGCUCUAAUUUUGUUUUCCCAUUCCUAACGAAAAUACCUCUCACUCCCUCUCGAAAGCCUCCGCUAGAAUGCGGGUUUAAUUUGCGGCGAGGACAGCUGAUUGUCAGUCUUAGGGUUACGACGAGCUCCGUCCAUCCUUAAGGCUAGUGAAAUGGCGUCGGAAGACAUGGUUGGGAAGGGAAGAAGUGAGUCUGCUGUCGAGAUGAUCGUCAAUAUGGCCGAAGAGGCGAAGCUUGCCAGCGAAGGAGUUAAGAAUAAUAGUAAGAAUCCACUGGUAUUGGCUGUUCAUCACUGGCAUUGAGCUUUGUAUUCGAUUAGGGCUUUGUGCAUGAAGAAGCAAAGCUUUCAACAACUAUUAUCGCCUAUCAACAAACAAAGAUCCGCAUGCCAAGAAGGUGCUGCAGGAAACUGCCAAUAGAGGCGUAUUCGAUUCCCCAAAGAAUUGGACAAUGUAAAUUGUAAGCCAAUUAGGGAUCUGCGUUUGCUUUUGAGUCACUACUGCACUUUACUCUGCUAAUUUGAGAUUCCUAGCAAGAAAGAUAUGCAGCAUUCUUUGAUCUGGUCAAGCAAGCUGAUAUUAGUGGUGUUGUAGAAACAGUAUCAGUCUUGACGUUCAAACAGGUAUGUGGAUGCUUUUAUCUUGUCGCUGUUGUACUGUUCAAGAAACAAAGAGUUAUACCCCCGGGCGCUGGCUCGGGUGGCAAGGGCGACCCGGCUGAGCCUGUGACCCAAGUUAGCUGCUCGGAUCGAUUGGUGCUGCCUUGAGCAAAUCCCGAUUUACCUCCCUGCAGGGUCUUGGGGUGGGUUCUGUGGGGCGUGAGGAUUAGUCCCGGCUGUGAUGCAUCCCAGGGUAACCUGGUAGAUGCCGGUUGGGGAUACCCGGACGUUAUCCAAAAAAAGAAAAAAAGAAAAAAAAAAAGAAACAAAGAGUUAUGAAAGGCACGCGACUUUUGAUUCUUUAUACAAAGAUUUUACGGGCCACAGAGGCUUUGAUUUGCAUAUUCAGGGUUAUUAUAUUAUUUACCAUUUUAUAUUGUUCCUUCAACUUCAUUUAGAAUUUGGUGCUUCUCCGUGAGUUAUGUAGCUGUAAAACCAAGACAUUGUUUGCUUUAAAAAAUAUUUAUUG